rnacentral:rRNA from 1 species
UACGAAGAGUGUGAAAGAAUAUGAUUGGGAUAAAGUUAAACAUUUCAAGUUAAGAAUAAAGUUAUUAUUAAGUGAAAUUUUAAUAAAUUAGUCAAUAGAAGAUAUUAAUGAAGCUUUGAAAUUUAGGUUGUAAACUA